GGAGAGGUGCCGGAGCGGUUGAACGGGGCGGUCUCGAAAACCGUUGUGGGGGCAACCCCACCCAGGGUUCGAAUCCCUGCCUCUCCGCCA
rnacentral:tRNA from 1 species